AAGAGGAUGCUGGCUACUACAGACUGGUAGAACACUGAAAGUUGAUGUUGUCUUUGGCCUGUUCUCUUGCCAGGGUGGAACGAUUGGAUAGCAUACACCAUUAAUGACUUAAAAAAAACAAGAACUGGGUGCACAAGUUUGAAUUUAUUUAGGAUCUUCUCUAAUCCACGCAGGGUCAAAAGCAAGCUACACCUACACCAUAUGCUUUUGGUAGCCAUCAACAAGAUUCUGGUAUAAUUUUGGCUGGAUAGUUGACCAUUCUUCUUGGCAGAAUUGGUAGAGUUCAUUUAAACUGUCUGGUUUCCUGGCAUGGACCCGACUUUUAAAACGUAGUCCACACAUUUUCAAUAGGGUUGAGGUCAGAGGAUUUGGGAAAGCCAUUCCAGAACCUUAAUGUUAGCCUGCUUUAUCCAACCCACAGCCAGUUUUGAUGCGUGUUUCAGCACCACACAUU